AGAAAAUGUUUACUAAAUAUGGCAAGAUUGUGUGCAAUAUUCUUCUGAAUAAAUAAAGGGUAGACGACAGACCAGUUCAGUGUAACAAAAAUCAAUAAGUAACUACUUGGUAAAAAUAGUUUAAUUGUGACACCAGAUGAAAUACGUUCAGCCUUUGGAAGAUUCGUGAAAUGUGUAAUAUACGUACAGAUAAAUUUUUUGAUCCAUGGCCAGUAAAUAAAAAUGCUGGCCAUUGGUCAUUUAAUAAUUGAUAACAUGUACUUCAUUAUCCAGAUGUCAAUAUCUGAGAAACCUAGGACCAAUCAAUGUAAUUGUUUUUCAAUAUUCAAAUGAGACAGGAGCCAAAAUAUUUGAUGAGUAACUUCACAGGAUAUUUGAAGUGGCAAUAAUUGACAAAAUAAGCUGAUGCUUACAUUUAGGAUUCCUUAGAACCUCUCCAAUUGUGUUUAUCCGUAUUCAAAUGAGUCUGAAAUUAAAAUAUUAGGUGUGGUGUGACAUGACAGUCUUAUCUUCAGUUAACUGAAGAAUUUUUGUACAAUAACACACCAUAAAAAGUUUGCAUACACUUACUUAUUGCCUCAACAAGUGGAUAUCAUACUAGAAUGGUUAGGGUAGCAAUUGAGAUCUACAAACACAGAAAUAAAAUCAUCUGAACGGAAAAGAAGAAAUUAUAAAACUUUAUUAAAUUUGGACACCAUUUUUUAAAAACAUGCUAAGCAGAUAAGAAGUUGUCAGUCAGAGAAUAUGGAAGAUGGUAUUUAUUCAAAUUGAGUGAAAUACAAUAGAUGAAUCAACAUAAAUAAGAUGUAACUUACUACUUCUGAGUUCUUGAGCUUCGAUAAUAUAAUAAUUCCAUUGAACGUCGACCUAUAAACCCGAACAAACAGGCAUUCAGUAAAAAUAUGGUUUAUGUUGUCAUUUUCUAAUAAUUACUUGUUUAGUAUACAUGUAAGUUACUAUUGUAAUUUCUUGAGACAGACAGUAACUUAACAUUUGUAUAUUUUAGAACGUUAUUCUUAUGUUUAAAUUUGUACAAUAUUUUCCACUAGGAUCGUUAUGAUUUCAAUAUGUAUAUGUAAGUUUUGUUUUUUAAAUCAUAAAUCGUAAAAUUUGCAACAGUAUCAAUUUAAGGUUUAUAACUUGCUGCUCCACAAACAUUGGAGUAUGUUAUUACUGGGUGCAUUAAUAUACGUGCAAUGAUUUUUGGUUUCAGUUUAUUCAAACAGUUAUAGCAUUUCCUUCAUAUUUCAAAAUUGGCAAAUGAAUUGAUAUUAAACUAUUGAUGUUCACUGCAGGUAUGUCGCCACUUCCUAAAUGACGUUCAUUGAACAUAUAUUUAGGCAAUUUGUUUCAUGAAAACAAACAUUGUCGUUAGUUAUAACGCUUGCUACGUUCUUGUUGCUCAGUCUGGAUGGACUUCUUCAGUUCUUUGAAACUUACCUAAUAAAUUGAUAUUUCUGAAUUGUUUCUGACAAAUGAAGAUUGCCGUCAUUUUCUAAAUUGUAUUCAUUUCUCAGUCGUUUCCCUUCGAUAUACAUUAUAUUUUGAAAUUCUUCUGGACAUAAACUUCAUUUCGUUCGUUUCAUGGAAACUGCCAUGCAAAGACAUGACAAGUUCCCAACAUUGCUACAUAUUCUGUAUGAGAAAAUCCUUAUUAUCACAAUUGUGAGAAGCAUCCACAAAACACUUAACAGUUAGAUUUUCACUUCUCUUACACACAAGACCUUGCUCCAUUGUCCCAACAAUGCAUCUCAUGACUCUCUUUCAAGCAGCCCAAUGCACUUCCCCGUAACAUUUCUUAUACUGACUCAGUUUGCACACAUUAGGACGGGUUGAUAUUGCAAAAUACAUUAGAGAACCAAUAAAUCUCUGAUGUGGAAUACUAUCAUCUUUAGUUUCAUACUUUGGUCUUUACAAACACACAAGGAUCACAUAUCCCAUUAUUCCUAUUAGAGCAGUAUUCAGAGAGUCUUAAUAGUAUUAAAAUCUGCUUCCAUAGCGGUACUUGUUGUUGCUACACCCAUUUCUUCAUGUUCCAGUAAUUGUAUUUUCUGAUCCUGUGACAAGCGUUUGAUAAGAUGAGUUUUUAAUUUAUUGUACUUAUAUUCAGGUAGCGGUGUGACGAUGAUGUCCGCCAUUUAUGCUGCAUAUUUGCUAUCAAGCUUUACGAUGUGCGUUACGCUUUUGAAUUUGUACAGAAGCUGACGUUUUAGGGAGCCGGGGUGUCAUCUUCUUACAUUUGUACAAUAAUUAGUUCUGGCGUUCUCCCAGGUCUGCAAGGAGUGUGCUGGCAAAACCUGAGAGUUGCGUUCAUCUCCGUUGUCCCGCUCUUGAACAAUGAACCACAAAAAUUAUAUUAAAUAAUAUAAUAUUUAAUUAUAUUCUUCGCCACAAUUGAUAUUUUCUAAAUGAUUAGUCAAAAUAUCGAGUUUUGGUUAUCUUAUACAGUCGAUAUGUCUUAAUAAAUCAGGUUUAAGGAAACUUCGUUGGACUGAGACCAGCAACGUUUCUGUUAAACUAUACAGUAAGUGAAUCCUUGUUUCUGAUGACUAUGUAUUGUGUAUGUUAAAAUAAUUUAAAAUAAAUUUCAAUAAAUACAGAGAGGCUUUGGCAUCCUGAAAAAUAAUAAUUGUACUAGUCAUGCAUUGUUCUCUCACAACUUUCUUUUUGCCCUCAUCCA